rnacentral:tRNA from 1 species
GCUGAGGUAGCAAAGUCUGGCCUAACGCGCCGGUCUUGAAAACCGGUUCUCAUCAGGGAGCGGGAGUUCGAAUCUCCCCCUCAGCG